ACAAGCGGUGGAGCAUGUGGUUUAAUUCGACGCAACGCGAAGAACCUUACCAGGGCUUGACAUCCCCUGACCGCGUAUGAAAGUACGUUUUCACCCUCGGGUGACAGGGAGACAGGUGGUGCAUGGUUGUCGUCAGCUCGUGUCGUGAGAUGUUGGGUUAAGUCCCGCAACGAGCGCAACCCCUACGUUUAGUUGCUAACGCGUGAAGGCGAGCACUCUAGACGAACUGCCGUUGACAAAACGGAGGAAGGUGGGAUGACGUCAAAUCAUCAUGCCCCUUAUGUUCUGGGCUACACACGUGCUACAAUGGCCGGUACAGACGGACGCAAAGCCGCGAGGUGGAGCAAAUCCUAAAAAGCCGGUCUCAGUUCGGAUUGCAGGCUGCAAUUCGCCUGCAUGAAGUCGGAAUCGCUAGUAAUCGCAGGUCAGCAUACUGCGGUGAAUACGUUCCCGGGCCUU
rnacentral:rRNA from 1 species